rnacentral:lncRNA from 1 species
AGAAUGGUUUAGGUAUAAAAAUAUGUUAUAGAAAUGCUUUCUCAUGGCGAGCUCGUUCUGUAUAUUGCUCCAAAUAGGUAGGAAAUUGUACUCUAUACUAUUUCGAAUAACUUUAUCCAGCAAUGACAUAAAGAAAAUCUGAAUUGGGAAACAAAAUUUGUCUUUUCGUUUUUCUUUCUUAUCGUAAAAAUCCGUCGUCCGGAUUUGCAUUCAAUAUCGUUCAACAAAUAUAACUCUUCAAAUGCAAAAUACACAUUUAAACAUUAGAUUAAUAAGUUUAAUAAGUUAUUCAAUCAGAGAAAAGCAAAAUGCAAGCGUCGUGUUUUUUUAAGGGUAGGAAGAAGAAAAGAAUCCUGUUUAAUUCCAUUCUAACGUCCACAUUUAAAUUCAUUGUCAAAAUGCAUUCGUUUCAUAAUUUUAGAUUAUUCAUAAAAUAUAAUGAAAUUUUUAGGCAUUUUGAGGAAUGUUUUGGUUUCGUUGUAAACUUUUUUCGUACAAGAAUGCAAAAUAUUUCCUCUAGCUGCAUUCAAACACUCUUAACACGGUUGAUUUCUUUUACUUUUAUAUUUAUUGCCUUGUUAUGCUGUUUUUAAUUAAUGUUUUUUGUUUUGUUUUGGGGGGGAGGUAUUUUGUUUACAACCAAACAUUUAAAAAAGAAAACUAUUCAAUAAAUAAACAUAAAUUUUUGUGCGCGUGCACAGUUAUAGGAUUAUGUCCGUUCGUUAUGCUAUAUUAUGUAUUUAUGUGUAUGCGUGUGUAUGUAUAUGUAUACAUACCUACAUAUAUAUAUUCAUAUAUAUGUAAUACAUGUGCAUAUGUAUAUAUAUAUAAAUAUUUGUGUGCGUGUGUGUAUACAUAUAUAUUCAAAUAUAUGUAAUACAGGUGCAUAUGUAUGUGUAUAUAUAUAUAUAUAUAAAUAUUUGUGUGUGCGCGCGCGUGUAUAUAUAUAUAUAUAUAUAUAUAUAUAUAUAUAUAUAUAUGCAAUUAAUGACCUACUGCAUGCUAACAUUAUGUAAAUAAAUGCGUAAUAUCAUGGAGGUGAAGUGGAAGCCGCAUAAAUUUUGCGCAAUGAAAACUGAAUUUAAGAAAAAAAAAUGGAGAUAUUUUUUAAAUGAUUCAAAAAAUUAUCGUAGAGUUAGAAAACAAUAUUUUUCUCUACAUGUUGAGCUUUAACCAAAUACUUUCCUUCUGAUUUUGUAAAAAAAAAUUUGUAACAUUUUCUGAUAAAAUUUUCCUUAAUUUUUCUUUUUAAUUUCUUUUUUUUUUUUUUUCGCUCCAGAUUUUGCGCCUUUUUAACUCUUUUGUUGGAGAGUUUCGUUUUGCAAUCUAUUUUUCGUAUAUCAUUUCAAAUAAUUUUCUUUUUCUUUUAGUUUGCUUUCUCUCCCUCAUUUUCUAUUUACCUAUAUAUCUGUCUAUCUAUCUCUCUUGUAUUUCCCAAAAGUUUAUGGCGAUUUGAUCUUUCUAAAACGCAUAUUUUUGUUUGUUCUUGAUAUUGUUAUCUAUAUAUUUUAUUUUCUACCUGCUACUGUAUUUUAACAUUGUUAUAUUUGAGAUAUUCUUCGUGCGCAUGUUUACCAAACGUUUGUUUAUAAAUGUUCAGUGUAAUCAUGAGAGGUGUUGAGCUGAUGCAAGCAUACAUGUGUAUCAGUGUGUGUUAGCGUGCGUGUGUGAGUGCGUGAGUGUGUGCGUAUACGCAUAUGUGUGUUAUAUGCGAACACCACUAAUGUCAUAAGCUUAUGUAUAUGUGCGCAAGUGCGAAUGCACAUAAAAACAGAACAUGAAUACAUGUUUAUAUUUGGCUUAGAUACGUAAACAUAUACAUGCAUGUAUCGAUAUGUGUGUGUAUAUAUAUAUUUAUAUACAUGCAUAAGUAUAUGUGUGUUUGACUGUGUAUACAUCUAGGAAGAGAGGAAGUGAGAUAAUCAGAUAUAUGUAUAGAUAGAUAUACAUAUAUGUUCAUAAGUGUUUGUCUGAGCGUGGUACAUGCAAAUAUCUAGACUCAUAUAGAUUAUGUAAUGUCUACACAAGAAGCAUAUAUAUAUAUAUUAUUAGAGUGAACCAAUUUCAAUUUACGGUUUUAUUUUACAGAAGAUUUCCUAAAAACUUUAUUCUUCUAACCUCCAAAAAUACAAGUAAAAUAAUUCUCAAACGUUCAAACGCACAUAGACAUACUUAUUCCCAACACCAAUACAAACACACGCAAGAGCAGACGAACAGUCACAAAACACAUAAGCAUAUAUAUAUAUAUAUAUAUAUAUACUUAUAAACAUAUAUAUACUUAUAAACAUAUAUAUCUGUGUAUGUAUUGCUGAACUGAGGUUAUUCUGAGUCGUUGCAGUAAAUUAUCGCAGCCUCACCACACUAGACAUUCAUUCUUUAUACAUUUAUUUAUUACUUUUACGCAGUGUAAGUAUAUAUACAUAUAUACACGUGUACAUAUACAGACAUAUACACAUAUAUCUACAUAUCUAUACACAUAGAACUAUGCGCAUAUAUAUAUAUAUAUAUAUAUAUAUACCCUUACACAUCUGCAUACACAUAUAAAUUUACUAAUACAUCUACAUAGAAAUGUGUCCGCACAUUCAUACAUAUAUGCAUAUGAAU